UACCCAUCCCGAACACGACCGUUAAGCCCUCUAGCGCCGAUGGUACUUGGACCGCAGGGUCCUGGGAGAGUAGGACGCCGCCAAGC
rnacentral:rRNA from 1 species